CAUAAAUUGAGCGGGCGCGCCUUUGCUGGGGGAGAGAAGGGAGCGGUGUGUAUGCAGAAGGAAUCGCGGGUGGAUUUUGCCUUCUUCGGCGACUGGCUGCGCGGCUCCGUCAUGUCCGUACAGCAACAAAAGUUUUCGCUCAACUUUGUUGCAUGGUGUGGCGCAGUGGAAGGCAGCAUGCGGCCCAUUUUGUUCCUGUGGGGAGGCAGGACACUCAGUCUUCUUGCGUGAGUCGCAAUCGAAUGACGGAAUGAGACGACGGGACGGGUUCUCGUGAUGCCUGUCUCGCAUUGAGAUACCCACAGGGAUAAGCACGUAUCGAUAGCUUGUGAAUCCAUUAACUGAAUUACAAAGGUACACUUCGAAUUCGCAGAAUUUAAGGUAAUUCCCGGGCCAUCCAACUGGUCAUCAGCGUCAUGCCCACCGCUUCGUUUUUGUCUUCGAACGCGCACCGUACGGAGACGUCCGGCCUACUUCGCUGCAGGAAGUUAACGGUGGAUCUGUUGUAUACACAUGGGUUUUGGACCGAAGCGUAUGAAGUGCAUUAGUGACAAAUUCGGAACUCGUUGACAGUUGCCGGAACUACGUCGUCAGCAGAAGAACAGAAGACCACAGAGGCAGCACCGGCGAUGGAUGUGUACCCGCACGCUUGAGAGGACAGGAGUGAGAGAACAGUUUUCUCGUCUCGGUUUGCGUGGAAGAAGCUGUGCCACUUGUCGCAUACUGUAGUCACCAGCGCUAGCUGUCCCUCCGACAUUUGCUGCAGAUGCAUGCGAGCGCAAAAGAGAACCCCAAACAUACGGAACGUUCGAGAACCGGCUGAACUCGUCAGUUACAAGGUAGGCGGGAGCUGCGUACGCCACUGGACUGCAGUGGUUUUCCAUGGCGUGGACACAGCCGCGCAGUGCCGGACUUGGUAAGGGCGGGUGCGUGGUCUGACGAACCCCGAACUCUGGCAUUUGCCGAUCUUAAAUCAGCCGCAUGGAUCAGUCUCAAUUUCAUUCGUCUUUUCACGGAUUGCACUGAUGUGGUUUCAAAAGGAAGUCGUUUAUACACGACACAGUGAACCGCGGUCCCUUUGG
rnacentral:lncRNA from 1 species